UCAAACUCUCUCGAAACCCUAAUCGCCUUCUACCACUCCAACCCCAAAGCAACCGGAAUUCAUGCCUGCUCAGGCCGUGGACGACCUAAACUCACCUCCUACUACUAUUAUGUGCCUGAUGCAAUAAGGUUCAAGGCUAUACUUCAAGGGUCUUCACUUAGACCUUCGCCAAUUCGAGGUUUCCGGCCAUUUCCGGCCUUGCUCCAGCGUAUCUUAGCCUCCUGAGUCUGAUCCCGACCUUAUCGACCUAGAUUGGACCUUUUCAAAGCCUUUCUCACUCUAGGGUUCCUCUGAAACCCUACCUUUGAG
rnacentral:lncRNA from 1 species